GUACUACUCCCUCCGUUCGGAAUUACUUGUCGUAGAAAUGGAUGUAUCUAGAUGUAUUUUAGUUCUAGAUACAUCCAUUUUCAAGACAAGUAAUUCCGAACGGAGGGAGUAUGUU
rfam:Triticum aestivum genome assembly, contig: Triticum_aestivum_CS42_TGACv1_scaffold_093165_2AL